UACGAAGGGGACUAGCGUUGUUCGGAUUUACUGGGCGUAAAGCGCGCGUAGGCGGAUCGCUAAGUCAGGGGCGAAAUCCCAGGGCUCAACCCUGGAACUGCCUUUGAUACUGACGAUCUGGAGAUCGGGAGAGGUUGGUGGAAUUCCGAGUGUAGAGGUGAAAUUCGUAGAUAUUCGGAGGAACACCAGAAGCGAAGGCGGCCAACUGGCCCGAUACUGACGCUGAGGCGCGAAAGCGUGGGGAGCAAACAGG
rnacentral:rRNA from 1 species